UACGUAGGGUGCGAGCGUUAAUCGGAAUUACUGGGCGUAAAGCGUGCGCAGGCGGUUUUGUAAGUCAGAUGUGAAAUCCCCGGGCUCAACCUGGGAACUGCGUUUGUGACUGCGAGGCUAGAGUACGGCAGAGGGGGGUAGAAUUCCACGUGUAGCAGUGAAAUGCGUAGAGAUGUGGAGGAAUACCGAUGGCGAAGGCAGCCCCCUGGGAUAACACUGACGCUCAUGCACGAAAGCGUGGGGAGCAAACAGGAUUAGAUACCCCGUGUA
rnacentral:rRNA from 1 species